GAUGAACGCUGGCGGCGUGCUUAACACAUGCAAGUCGAACGAAGCACUUAAGAUUGAUUCUUCGGAUGACGUCUUUUGUGACUUAGUGGCGGACGGGUGAGUAACGCGUGGGUAACCUGCCUCACACAGGGGGAUAACAGUUAGAAAUGACUGCUAAUACCGCAUAACCCGAUAGGAUCGCAUGAUCCAGACGGAAAAGAUUUAUCGGUGUGAGAUGGACCCGCGUCUGAUUAGCUAGUUGGUGAGGUAACGGCCCACCAAGGCGACGAUCAGUAGCCGGCCUGAGAGGGUGAACGGCCACAUUGGGACUGAGACACGGCCCAAACUCCUAGGGGAGGCAGCAGUGGGGAAUAUUGCACAAUGGGGGAAACCCUGAUGCAGCGACGCCGCGUGAGUGAAGAAGUAUUUCGGUAUGUAAAGCUCUAUCAGCAGGGAAGAAAAUGACGGUACCUGACUAAGAAGCCCCGGCUAACUACGUG
rnacentral:rRNA from 1 species